GCUGUAGUUCCAUGGUAGAGAACAUCUGCUUUUUAUGCAGAAGGCCACAGUUCCAGUCCCUGGCAUCUCCA